rnacentral:rRNA from 1 species
UACGGAGGGUGCAAGCGUUGUCCGGAUUUACUGGGCGUAAAGAGCGCGCAGGCGGCUGGUCAAGUCCGAUGUGAAAGCUCCCGGCUUAACUGGGAAACGGCAUCGGAAACUGAUCGGCUUGAAGGUGGGAGAGGGUAGUGGAAUUCCCGGUGUAGUGGUGAAAUGCGUAGAUAUCGGGAGGAACACCAGUGGCGAAGGCGACUACCUGGCCCACUCUUGACGCUGAGGCGCGAAAGCUAGGGGAGCAAACGGG